CCCUACGGGGCGCAGCAGGCGCGAAAACUUUACAAUGCGGGAAACCGUGAUAAGGGAACUCCGAGUGCCCGUAAAAUCGGGCUGUCCAUCUGUUUAAAUAACAGGUGAAGAAAGGGCCGGGCAAGACCGGUGCCAGCCGCCGCGGUAAUACCGGCGGCUCGAGUGGUGGCCACUAUUACUGGGCUUAAAGCGUUCGUAGCUGGUCUGUUAAGUCUCUGGGGAAAUCUUCCGGCUUAACCGGAAGGCGUCUCAGGGAUACUGGCAGACUAGGGACCGGGAGAGGUGAGGGGUACUCCAGGGGUAGGAGUGAAAUCCUGUAAUCC
rnacentral:rRNA from 1 species